UACGUAGGGGGCAAGCGUUGUCCGGAUUUAUUGGGCGUAAAGAGCGUGUAGGCGGCUAGGUAGGUCCGUUGUGAAAACUCGAGGCUCAACCUCGAGACGUCGAUGGAAACCAUCUAGCUAGAGUCCGGAAGAGGCGAGUGGAAUUCCCGGUGUAGCGGUGAAAUGCGCAGAUAUCGGGAGGAACACCAAUGGCGAAGGCAGCUCGCUGGGACGUUACUGACGCUGAGACGCGAAAGCGUGGGGAGCAAACAGG
rnacentral:rRNA from 1 species